rnacentral:rRNA from 1 species
AGAGUUUGAUUAUGGCUCAGGAUGAACGCUGGCGGCGCGCCUAACACAUGCAAGUCGAACGGUUAAAGCACCUCCGGGUGUGUAUAAAGUGGCGAACGGCUGAGUAACACGUGGGCAACCUGCCCCUCGCUCCGGGACAGCCUCGGGAAACUGGGAGUAAUACCGGAUACUCCGCCACCCCCGCAUGGGGGAGGCGGGAAAGCCCUUACGGCGAGGGAUGGGCCCGCGGCCUGUUAGCUUGUUGGUGGGGUAACGGCCUACCAAGGCGAUUAUGGGUAGCUGGGUUGAGAGACCGACCAGCCAGAUUGGGACUGAGACACGGCCCAAACUCCUACGGGAGGCAGCAGUGGGGAAUCUUGCACAAUGGGCGAAAGCCUGAUGCAGCGACGCCGCGUGCGGGAUGAAGGCCUUCGGGUUGUAAACCGCUUUCAGUGGGGACGAGGCCGCGAGGUGACGGUACCCACAGAAGAAGCCCCGGCUAACUACGUGCCAGCCGCUGC